UUUAAUCAAACGACGCCGUUUUGUCACGCUCAAUUCCAACCAUUGAUCCGAUCGAAUCCAACGGACAGGAACUCAAUUCUCACUUACUAUAUAGCUGUCUCAACUCGGACCCCACCCCACCUCCCUCCAGUAUCCCUCUCUUUUUCACUCUCCAGUUCCAAAUUCAAUGAAACCCUAGAUGCCUAAAUCCCCCCAACCGUCUCCGCCGUCGAAAAUCGCCUCAUGGCAGGGAAACUUCUCCAAACCACCCCAAAAUUUAACCAUGCAACCAUCGUCCCCUCCCUUUCCAAAUCCCUAAACCGUUUUACUCAAAUCCCAUUCAAUCGGGCAAAAUUUUAGAUCAGUGACAUGCAAAACCUAAUUCCUAAUCAUUGAAGUUUCCAAGGACAAUAUUAUCUUGAAACUGACGUCAAUCAUUUGUUCUUAACAAGAACAUUCAAUUAAUAUUAAUUUUGGCUUAAAUUGGAGCAGCUUGGAGUUCGUCUGAGCCAACUGCCAUCCGUUCUGAUAUAUGUAUCUCUAAUCUUCCUCUUCUAUUUCUUUUUCUUCGUUCUUUCCUUCUUAUUUUCUUUUAUCUUCUUCUCUCUUUCUUCACUCUGUCUCCUUCUAUUUUCCCUUUCUUUAACCAAAAUGAAGAAUGUUCAGCUAGCCUUAACCUGUGGACUAUUAGGUUUUUUUUCUCUCAUGCUUAGUCAGUAGAUUUUAGUUUUCCCUAAUCCAUGUAUCUGUCCUCAGAAUCAUUAGUUUAUUCUGUUAGGGUUUGUUAAUAUUGUUUAGUUCUAUUUAACUCUUUUUACUCGUAAAGCAAGUUCAGUAGAUUAUUAGUCUUAGUUAUUUUUUGGUUUAAUUAGUUUUACUUUAACGGCUUGGUUUGAUUACUGUUUAAUUAGCCUAGGUUUAGUUUGUAUUCAAUAUUCUCGUAUCAUCAUCGUCAAAUUUGUUAGUCUAAAGAAUAUUUGUGUUGUUUCAUUUUAAAUUUGCCUCAUUUUGUAGGUUAGGAUUAGUUUGAGUUUUCAGAUGUUCACUUUCUGCUUUGUUAUAUGUUCCUGAUUCAUUUUCUUGCCUUUCUGUUCCAAUUUACCAUAGUUUGUAAGUCAUUUAGAAUUUGUAGAGGUUAAUUGAAAAUAAAGAAACUUAAGGGGUUCUUUUUGAAGGGUAGAUAAGUAUGAAAUAGUAUAAAACCAUGUGGGAAGGUUAUAGAGUAGGGGCAGCUGGAUCUACUUGCCCAGCACAAAAAUGCUGAAACUAAUUAGAUGCUGCCAGCUGUCCAAAUUUUGUUAGAACGAUACCUUUAGAGGUUGUGCGAGGGAAUAAUUUCCUAAUUCUCUGUCACAGCACAUGGCAUUUUCAGGGCUUAUAUAUAGAACUUUUCCCUCACUCCUUAGACAUCAGACCCUAGAAAACACCCAAAACGUUUUGCGAUGUUUGAUAAAGAAAAGCUGAAUUGAUUUCUUUUGAUUUUCUAGAGUAAAAGGAAAAGGACUCUGAAAUUUUCUAUGGGAUCUCUUAAGUUCUAGUUUGCAUAUGGACUAAAUCGAAGCUGUAUAUUGCUGAUAUUUAUUGCCUUCUCACUCAUUUGUCUUGCUGAAAUCCUUACUCCAUUUUGCUUUAUUUUUUAUAUUCAAGUACUUCUUGGACUAUGAGUGACUUUUGAAGUGCAAGCAUGCCUUUCCUUUGAAAUAUAUAACUGAAAUGUGAAGUUUAAUGUUAAAAUGUUAAAUUUUAGUUUUUAUUUAUAUGUGUUCUUCCAAGUUCACCUAGCUUUUUUCAGGGUUUUAGUUUCUUCUCCUUUUAUGUAAAUUGUUUUGGGGUCUAUUUGAUGGUCAAGCCUUAGAGGGGAAAUUUCUUAUGCGAAAGUCAAAUUUAGUUCAUCUUUUUCGUGAAAUAUUCAGAACUUCAUGUUGGUAGAGAGCUUUAGUAGUAUAUUUAUGUUAAAUGGAUGUAGACUCAUGUAUCAUGAAUGCUAGAAAAGGCAUUACUUGGCUGUUGUAUACCUUCAGUUUAAUUGUUUAAUUUCAACAUUGCUAGAGUAAUUUUGUAUAUGUGAACUAGUAUGUUUGAUGAGUAGUUUUAAAAUCCAUGUCCAUACUAUUUUUACUUAUAGCAGGUCAUUAAAGUAAAGUUUAUAAUCUGGACCUACAUCUUGAGAGCCAUCAUGCCCUCACAACACCACAAACUACACGGGAUCUCAAUAUGAGUGUGAAUAAUCUAACCUCCUCACAACCCAUAUGGCACACUAGAGAUUACAUGGAAUGGCUAACUAGAGAAAUAACAUCCAAAGCCCGAAGUUUCUUCCUAAACAAUGCUAUGCUGAAAUGAACACAUCCAGAUUGAUACAUAGCCCACAUUCAUAUUUAGAUCAAUCCAUGGACCUCAAGCCUAUUCUGAUAGUACCGCACCAGGCUAAUAACCUUUCUAGGAUCCACAAUAACCCUUUUUUCCCAUGACACAUAAGAACAACCUUCAAAUUUGGAACAAACUUCUACAUACCACAACUAAAUGAACUACGCGCCCGGUCAGGCAUAAAUUCUCAUAUAAGAGACAAUACCACAAUCUCCAUAUUUGGUUUCAAUAUUUAAUCAAUUAAGUGACUACGUGUCACACUUGUACAAUCUUCCCUUAGAAUAUGUUCCUACGGCCUCCCGAACUAGGUAACAAGUUUGUACAUCCAUACCACCAGCCAUAAUAAUGUUGUAAAGUGAAUCAAGGAUUUGUUAAUCAGUUCACAAGCCUCUUAAACAUAACACCAACCUCAGGUGACGCUGAAGACAACACCAACUUACUGUAAAUAUCUGAAUCUUUUUUUGCUCAUCCGAGCUCGUAAUAUUCUUGUCAGCACCAAACCGUGACCUAAUCCUUACUCCAAAUUCCCGUGACGCUCCCUACACCAAACAUACCAAUAUGCUAGAGUAUAAUAAUUUCAUCAUAACUCCUAAUACACUAAUAGAAUAAACUCUCGAUCAUAAACAAGCCUUUCACUUACCCAUUUUAGGAUAACUAUUGGGAUACGCAACUGAAAUCUCAUAACUUGCGGCAAAUACAACCCCAAGUAGUGAUCUAAACUACCAAGACCACCAUAACUCUUCCACGAUCCAUCUAUACAUAACAUGCCAAAAUACCGCCUCCAAAUAAAAUAAAUUACGGCAGCCGUCAAGCCUCGCACUUAUCCCCACAAAUCACGUGCAUAACUUAAUGUGCUGAAGGAACUUAUCAUCGCCACCAUCAUGCCAAUUAAACCAUUUGUAACCGAUCUGAAUUCCUUUAAUUUACUCCAGACUUGGCUUAGGAAUAAUAAUAUCUCCAUUCAAAACAUAACAAAUCCAAAUCUAUACUCAUCCUGAGUGAUCUUAUUUCACGGGACUACGUUGUCUUAAAACCACGAAUCAUCUCAUACCCUCCUUGUGCGCACAUUCACAUCUUCAACUGGUGCACCCAUUCUGAUAAUUCCUCUAUGAAAUCGAAGUUACUUUCUCCCAUUCCUCUCAUGUUACACCACAGAUCGAAGCUAACACAAAAUACUCUAAGCCCUUUUUUUCAUAAUCAGUUGCAAAAGCUCGAUGCCCAACCAUACUAAAAACUAGAAGUCCUUAGGCACCAUAUUUUAACUUUUGAAUCUACUAGGACCAUUGUUGAGAGUCACCCACUCUAACUUGGUCCCAAAUAUAAUCAACUCCAUGUCUAUACUAACAUAUGAACACCCUUCUUGAAGAAACGCCUGAUGACGUCCAAAUCCACUAGUAAAAAGUAAAUGGACAAAGUUGUAUUCAAUAUAAUUUACCCAACUAUGAGUCGGGGUCGAACCCAUAAAAACAAUAUGUAGAUGAGUCCUAGAGUUAGCUAAUCCCUUUGGAAACAUAAAAGAACAAGAAUAAUAUAAGUAAGGAUAACUCACUUCAUAAAUACAUGAAAAUCAUUCAAUACAUAAGCUUAACAAGGUAUUUAAUCCACACUUUAACUAUGAAUAUUUUCAUAAACAAGAUUCAGGGGUUGGAAAUAAAUACUACACACUGAAAUAUUCAAUACAAAGCAAGGAAAUGAAGAAAUAAACAUAAAUGGGUAAGAAAUUCUUAACCACAAUUGAAAUCUUCAAGACCCAACUGUGUGAAAAAACCUAGCUUCAAGACUAGCUCUCUCUAGUCUCUUGAAACUGAAAAUAAGCCAAAGAUCUCCCAAAAUAUAUGGUAGGUGGAAUAUUUGUGUGUUUGAAAAAGAGAACAUGUGAAAUACCUAAAAUGCCCAAGUCUGAUGCCCGUUGACCGCACAUGUGGAUGACUUCUCGCAUAUGCGGUUCUGCAGAUGCAGAUACCUUAUCGCAAAAGCAGAAUGUUGAAGUUUAUCUGACACUGCAGGAGCGGACUCUCAAAGCACAGAUGCGCUACCACAAAAGCAGACAUUUACUCACAGAAGCAAUUUCUUAGCAAAAGGAAGAGCUCCGUAGAUGCGUUGCCACUCUCGCAGAUGCGGGGUCGCUUCUGCGACUAGUAUUCCACAUAAGCAGAAUCACUGGAGGGUUUUGCAUUGUUUUCACCCCUUUUUACUUAAGUUCACUUCAAUUCAAUUCAAAUCACUUCAGAGCAUUAUUUACCUAAAAAUCUAACAAUAAACACCACAAACGACCUCAUAUUAUAGUUUAAGGACAUAAAAUUUAAAGAAAAGAGACUAGAAUGAGUGGUAAAAUCACCACUCAUCAACGCCCAGCUAAAUCACCUUUCUUGUAAUUCUCUACUAUAUGAAGCAUAAAUCUUGAGUCUUCCCAAAGACCGAACAUAAAUUGAUAAGGCCAAUUAUAGCAAGGCUUCCUCAAGUCCUUUGCUCAAAUCACCACUGAUAUUCUCUUUCCUUAGUCGUAAUAACCCACCAAUAUACCGAUAACCAGAAACCUCCCAAGUACAUAACCGUACAAUCUAGUCAUAGGCGGCAGGGCUCUCCCAUUCAGCUUGAAGCCACCUAUUACAUAACUAUGGAAUCCACCGAGAUUCCUUAUCCCUUAUUGAAAUAGUCUUGCAAAAUCAACUCGCCAAAUUUCUCGAAAUUCUUUUGUUAGCAUUUCAUGAACACUCUGAAUCACUAACCACAUUUAGAUAUUCGAGCUCUACCGGAUAGCUAGUAGAAUUCUUCAUAGAAGCUUCGUCAACCAUGUGACCACUCACCUGCUCAUAGGAGAUAACCCAGUUGUGGAAAUUACAUGCAGACAUUUUCCAAUGUUGCUGCACUAGGUACAAUUACUACAAAGUCAGUAACCCAUCAUGAUCCUGUGCUUAUUCACUAGAUGUGCAAGUCCGUUCACUCCUUAUGGACAUUAACUAAAGGUGCAACAAUACAUUCCAAUCCAAAGUCAUGUUGUAUCCUUCUUCAUAUCAAGCACUCUUUUUUUGUCGUUGUGAUGAACCAAAGGGUCAUCUUUUGCUUUAGAAUCUAAAUUCGAGUUAUAAGGUCUUGAAAACCUUAUUUUCUUCCUCCUUGAUUUUCGUGUGCAUAUGGGGGCGCAUUUUUGAAAAGCCUUUGUGUGAAAUUUGAGAAAAUAUUGAAUUUUGCCUUUAAAACUGAUUAAAGUUGACUCAGUCAACAUUUUUGGUAAAUGGAUACAGGCCCAUGAUUUGACGGUCCCGUAGAGCCUGUAGUAAACUAGGACUUGAGCGUAUGACUGUAAUUGAAUUCUGAGGUCUCUAGUCCAAGAAAUAAAUUUUUGAAGUAAAUUGUUAAUUGAAAAAUAUGAUGGUUUUUAGAAAUAGAAUAAUGCUUGAUAUUGUUGGCAUCAGGACCAUAUUUUGGUUUCGGAGCCCGGUACAUGUUCAUUAUAUUAUAUAAAUCUUAUUAGUGAAAUUUGGUGAAAAAUAGAAGGGACUAGACGUGAUUCAGACGUUCGUUUGUGAAAAUAGAAAUUUCAAGUGUUCUUAAGGAAAUCAUGAGUUUGUGUUAAAUUCAUUGUUUAUAAUGUUAUUUUAGUUAUUGAUCACAUGAGAAAGUUUGUAUGAUGUUUUAAGACUUGUGUGCAUGUUUGGUUUGGAGCCCCGAGGGCUCGGUGAGUUUUUGAUAGGCUUUGAAGUGUUUUAUACUUGGAAAAAAAUUGAAGGUAUUCCAGUUCUGAUGUUGGCCUCUGAUACCGCAAGAGUUCGCACUUACGGAGCAUGAUAGUGUUGCAAUUGCGAGCCACUCAACGCAAUUGCGAUGGGUAUCUUGGCAAACAAUUUUCACAAUUGUGAUGAAACCUUCGCAUUUCCAAAGUAAAGCUGGGAGGGGUUCUGGUGGCAAAUGCGAUACUUUACUUGUAUUAACGGAGGAUCAUAUUCGCAUUUGCGAAGGCCAUAUAAAUAUAAGGGGUUCGCAUUUAGAUACCUUCCUCACAUUUGUGAUAUUCACAAAUGCGAAGCUCAGGUUGCAAAUGCGACAUCUGCAGCUGAGUAAACGGGGUCUUGGAUUGAAUUUUCAGCUCUUUUCUCAAAUUUUCAAACCCUAAGCUUUCAUAAGAGAUUUUCCAAAGAGGAGUUCUUCCCCAAAUAAUUGGUACAUAACUUCUAACUCAUUUCUUUCAAUCUAUUUCAUCUUUUUGCAAGAUUUUAUCAUUAUAUAUAGGGCUUUUCAUAGGAAAAUUGGGUGUUUUAGGAAGGAUUUAGGAAUUUUAAAAUUUGGGGAUUUGGACUUCAAUUUGAGGUCCGAUCCAUAAAUCAAUUACAUAUCCGGACACAAGGGUGAAUAAGUAACUAGCUUUUGGUCCGAACUUCGAGUUUUGACCAAGCGAGUCCGGUGUCGUUUUUGAAUUUUUGGGGAAACUGUUUGGAAAUAUAUAUUUAUGCAUUGGAAUUGGUUUCUUUAGCAUUUAUUGGUGUUAUUAAGUUAAUUAUGAAUAGAUACAAGUGAAAUGGUGGCGGAAUCGAGAGGUAAAGCGGUAAAUGAGCUUUGAUAUACUUGUUGGCUUGAGGUAAGUGUUUGGUCUAACCUUGAGUUGAGGGAUUAGGGAUCCCCGAAUUGCUUUCUAUGCAAGAUAUCAUGUGUGGGCAUAUAGGUGUGGUGACGAGCACCUAUGCAUCGCCAAAUUACUUAUUUAUUCUAUUUCAUUUUCCCGUUCCCCUAUAUCAUGCUUUUAUGUCUUAAUUGCUACUUUCUUAUCGAUGCUUCCAUUCCUAAUUGUUUCAUGAUAAAUGUUGAUUUUCCUAUUGAAGUAUUAAUUUUUUUGUAGGUGUAUUGUAUUACCUUGUUGGAUUAUGUUGGUUAUUGGUGCUUCAUGGUACACUUAGGUUGGUCUCGCUGUGUAGUUUUCACUGGUGAAGUUUUGUAGUUGUAGUGAUAUUCCAUCAUGUUGGUUGAGCAAUAAGUGCUAUGGAGGAAUUGAGUUGAUUUGUGAGAAUAUUAUCUUUAUAUAGUGAUUGGCAAUAUUAUAUAUAUUGGGAUCGGGUUGCACACCAAAACAGGAGGAAUAAGGGUGAAUAUGAUUGUCUGAUUGGAUCAGGUUGCACGCUACAAUAGGAGUAAUAACGGUGGACAGGUGGGAUCGGGUUGCAUGCGAUAACAUGAGUAAUAAGGGUAAUAUAUUGAGGAGUAAUAAGGGUGGACUGGCGGGAUCGGGUUGUAUACCGCAACAAGGAGCAAUAAGGGUGAAUAUUGAUACUUUUAUUGUUUAUGUGGUGGGAUCGGGAUGCACGUUGCAUCAGUUGUUGUUUAUGUAUUCAUUUAUGUCGAGGUUCGUUACUAUGAUGUUGAAAUUCCCUUAAGGCUGAGUAUUGGUAGAACGACCGGUUCCCGUGUCUAUUUAAUGCAAGUUCUGCUUAUAAUUCAUUGUGUACUUCCUUUCUAUUUUAGUACACAUUGUUCCAGGUUAUAUAUGUUGUUAUGCCCGGCCGUAGCCUCGUCACUACUUCGUCGAGG
rnacentral:lncRNA from 1 species